CUUCUUAAUAACGAUAAUUUCAUCCUCUAAAAAAAAAGGUAAAAAGCAACUUGGUGAUCUUUGUUCCAACAAAUGUCUCUUUUUAUGGAGAAAGUACAUUUUCUUAAUCGGUACAAACAUUGAGAAAAUAUGAUCGAUGCUUAAAUUUCAAGUAGAACUCUAUAAACUUUUACAUUGAAGAUUCAAUACUUAAUAUGAAUUUGGCGAUCAAUUUGGAUUUGACAGCUUUAUUUCAGCUUCGAAAUGAAAACAAUAACAAACAAGUAAAGCAAACUUCCUCCCAUCCCAUGAUGAUGAUUUGUUCAUGAAUGCUUGUUCUUAGUAAUAGUACGUCCUCGUAUACGAUGAUCCUGACCCUACAUAGUCACCAGCAUUAUCAAGUGCUUCAAGCAUUAUUUUGUGUGCAAUAUGCUGUUCUCUCAGUUUCCUUUGGGCCUCAAAAAUCGACAUUUCCGAUUCUUGUGUUUGAUUCUCUAAAUCUACUUGGUUAACGUUGGAUCUUUCCUUUGCUGCUGCAUCGUUAUCUGCUGGUUUUCUUGAUUCUUCUUCCUUGGAGCACCCCUUAGAAGUUGCGCAGUCUAAAUGCCCCGCAAAAUCACAAUCCGCACAAUAGUACAGCCAGAAAUUAUUCUGCAUGAUGCCCCGACACAAAUCACAGGCAAAUACAGUGCUUUUAUCCUCAUAAGGCGAACCAAAAACCAGUUUUAAUUCAUGACGGUGGUUUUCAAGAAGUAUAGUACUAGGCAAAGUGGCACAUUUUACGUGAAGAUCAAAUUCGCAAUGGGAACAGCUGAAACCAAAGGCUCUGCCUUCAGAUCCACAUGCAUCGCAAGUGUACGAUCGGCAGCAGUAAGUUGGGAAUGGGAGAAGGGACAAUGGAUGAGAAGGAUGAGAGGGGUGUUGAAGAGAACGAGGUGCAUUCAUGCAAUGGUUAUGGAGGUAGAAGUUGCAGGAUAGGCAGCCAUGAAAAGGUUCGACUAUAAUCUGAUCGCAGCCUUUGCAUUUAAUCUCCUCUCCUUCAUCAAGUUGGAGGGAAAUCAAAAUAUGAUGGUGGCUAAAAUGCUGCUUAUCUUGAAACCUCAUCUGUCUUUUCUUAGUUCUUACGAUGGAUGUGGGAGUGGUG
rnacentral:lncRNA from 1 species